rnacentral:rRNA from 1 species
CAGCAGCCGCGGUAAUACAGAGGGUGCGAGCGUUAAUCGGAUUUACUGGGCGUAAAGCGUGCGUAGGCGGCUAAUUGAGUCGGAUGUGAAAUCCCCGAGCUUAACUUGGGAAUUGCAUUCGAUACUGGUUAGCUAGAGUAUGGGAGAGGAUGGUAGAAUUCCAGGUGUAGCGGUGAAAUGCGUAGAGAUCUGGAGGAAUACCGAUGGCGAAGGCAGCCAUCUGGCCUAAUACUGACGCUGAGGUACGAAAGCAUGGGGAGCAAACAGGAUUAGAUACCCCGGUAGUCCCUGUCUCUUAUAC